UACGGAGGAUGCAAGCGUUAUCCGGAAUUAUUGGGCGUAAAGCGUCUGUAGGUGGAUGUUCAAGUCUGCUGUCAAAGACCGGGGCUUAACCCUGGAAAGGCAGUGGAAACUGAUGAACUAGAGGGUGAUAGGGGCAGAGGGAAUUCCUAGUGUAGCGGUGAAAUGCGUAGAGAUUAGGAAGAACACCGGUGGCGAAAGCGCUCUGCUGGGUCACACCUGACACUGAGGGACGAAAGCUAGGGGAGCGAAAGGG
rnacentral:rRNA from 1 species